rnacentral:lncRNA from 1 species
CAAGAGCUAGGACAGGAGGAGCCGCAGAGCUCGUAAUUGCUGCGGGGAGGACAGGCCAGCUCUGGAAGAAAACAGGCCACUUCAAACUUGCAGCACACAGUGAGCAACUCGGACAAUAUAGGGUCCAGUGCUGGGAGGGUCUCGCUCUGUCACCCAGGAUGCAGUGCAGUGGUGCCAGCAUGGCUCAUGGCAACCUCGAACUCCUGGACUCAAGAGAUUCUCCUGCCGCAGCCUCCAAGUAGCUGAGAAUACAGGUGUGCACCACCACCAGGCCUGGCUAAUUUUUUUUUUUUUUUUUU